UACGGAGGAUCCGAGCGUUAUCCGGAUUUAUUGGGUUUAAAGGGUGCGUAGGUGGAUUGGUAAGUCAGUGGUGAAAGUUUGCAGCUUAACUGUAAAAUUGCCGUUGAAACUGCCGGUCUUGAGUGCAAAUGAGGUAGGCGGAAUGCGUCGUGUAGCGGUGAAAUGCUUAGAUAUGACGCAGAACUCCGAUUGCGAAGGCAGCUUACUGGGAUGCAACUGACGCUGAGGCACGAAAGCGUGGGUAUCAAACAGGAUUAGAUA
rnacentral:rRNA from 1 species